AAUGGACGAAAGUCUGAACCAGCCAUGCCGCGUGAAGGAUGAAGGUCCUCUGGAUUGUAAACUUCUUUUAUCUGGGACGAAAAAAGGGAAUUCUUUCUCACUUGACGGUACCAGAAGAAUAAGCACCGGCUAACUCCGUGCCAGCAGCCGCGGUAAUACGGAGGGUGCAAGCGUUAUCCGGAUUCACUGGGUUUAAAGGGUGCGUAGGUGGGCAGUUAAGUCAGUGGUGAAAUCUCCGGGCUUAACCCGGAAACUGCCAUUGAUACUAUCUGUCUUGAAUACUCUGGAGGUAAGCGGAAUAUGUCAUGUAGCGGUGAAAUGCUUAGAUAUGACAUAGAACACCGAUUGCGAAGGCAGCUUACUACGGAGUCAUUGACACUGAGGCACGAAAGCGUGGGGAUCAAA
rnacentral:rRNA from 1 species